rnacentral:snoRNA from 1 species
GCCCUCCUGUUCCCUUUCCCAUCGGAUCUGAACACUGGUCUUGGUGGUCGUAAAAGGAGGAAAAGUAAUACUGAAGCUGGCCCCCCCAGUGUUGUAGUUUGGUAUAUAGCAUGUGGGCUAGUUUCAAACAAGG